rfam:Branchiostoma floridae genomic scaffold BRAFLscaffold_199, whole genome shotgun sequence.
UCCCAUAUGGUCUAGUGGUUAGGAUUUGGCGUUCUCACAGUCAAGGCCCGGGUUCGUUUCCCGGUGUAGGAA